rnacentral:rRNA from 1 species
ACUCCUACGGGAGGCAGCAGUGGGGAAUAUUGCACAAUGGGCGCAAGCCUGAUGCAGCCAUGCCGCGUGUAUGAAGAAGGCCUUCGGGUUGUAAAGUACUUUCAGCAGUGAGGAAGGUGGGUAUGUUAAUAGCAUAUUCAUUUGACGUUAGCUGCAGAAGAAGCACCGGCUAACUCCGUGCCAGCAGCCGCGGUAAUACGGAGGGUGCGAGCGUUAAUCGGAAUUACUGGGCGUAAAGCGCAUGCAGGUGGUUUGUUAAGUCAGAUGUGAAAGCCCGGGGCUCAACCUCGGAAUUGCAUUUGAAACUGGCAAACUAGAGUACUGUAGAGGGGGGUAGAAUUUCAGGUGUAGCGGUGAAAUGCGUAGAGAUCUGAAGGAAUACCGGUGGCGAAGGCGGCCCCCUGGACAGAUACUGACACUCAGAUGCGAAAGCGUGGGGAGCAAACAGGAUUAGAUAGCCUGGUAGGCUCUGC